CCGCCGCUACCGGCCCCGCCCAAGCAACUGCCGCCACGCCCCUGACUACCGCCUCUGCCACGCCCCCAGCUACAGGAGCCCGCCUAUUCAUUGGGUAGAUCAGCUGUUACUCUGCUUGCCUAACGCAUCCAUUGCACCUGAUUGGCAGCCCAUUGGAUUGUGACAAGGAACCAGGCUGGAUCAAGUUUUGUGAACUGUGACCAAAUAAAAUCCUUCAGUGGCUACUCAGUUCUGGAUCAAAAAUCACUGCAGGAAAUACAUUUAUCAGACACUCCUGAAGUCCAUUCCCCAUUCUGAAGGUUUAUAGCAAAACUGAGCAAAGGACAAAGAGUUCUUAUAUACACCCCACCCCAACAUAUGCAGGAUGUUUUAAAACUAGCAAAAGCUACUACCUGGGAAGCAGAAAAACCUCACAGACUCCAGGAGGCUUCAGGAGGAAAAUAGAAAUGGAAGGACAUCCCUGAUGGCAGAGCCAAGAGACAUGAAGGACAAUAGCCUGAGGAACCCCUUUCCCCCAGGAGCAGGACUGAAACCUGAUCAAGAAGCAUUUCACAUCCCCUUAAAUAAGUUCCAGAUCUCCAGAUUCAGAGGAACCAUUACCACAUCUGAGGUAGGAACUAUCAGGAGAACCCUGAAUUGAAGUCUGAUGGUAGAAAUUACAUGGGAAUUUGAGUUGUUUCACCUCAUGAGAAGACGUGAAUUUAUUUUGUAGAAGAGAGGAAACAAAUAUCUGUGAUCCUGGGGAAUAUUAAUAUAAGUAGAACUGAUAGGUUACUUCUGAGCAGAAGUUUGGAGAGACAGCAUAUGGUCCUUCACUGUACCAGAUAAGGACAGCUCCUUCAGCCCGGAUCCCAGACUGGACUUCCUGUCAACUUGCAACAUACAUAUAACAUGGAGUGAGAAAUGCCAGAUUUUAGUUAUAAGCCACCAAGAUCUUGGUGAUGUUUAUUACUAGAGCAUAACCACACUAUCCUGCCUGAUCCAAGAGUAAAUAAAUAAGACCAUGGAAUCAUA